rnacentral:rRNA from 1 species
AAGUGGUAGGAGAGCGUUCUAUUUGCGUCGAAGGUAUACCGGUAAGGAGUGCUGGAGCGAAUAGAAGUGAGCAUGCAGGCAUGAGUAGCGAUAAUUAAUGUGAGAAUCAUUAACGCCGUAAACCCAAGGUUUCCUACGCGAUGCUCGUCAUCGUAGGGUUAGUCGGGUCCUAAGUCGAGUCCGAAAGGGGUAGACGAUGGCAAAUUGGUUAAUAUUCCAAUACCAACAUUAGUGUGCGAUGGAAGGACGCUUAGGGCUAAGGGGGCUAGCGGAUGGAAGUGCUAGUCUAAGGUUGUAGGAGGUUAUACAGGCAAAUCCGUAUAACAAUACUCCGAGAACUGAAAGGCUUUUUGAAGUCUUCGGAUGGAUAGAAGAACCCCUGAUGCCGUCGAGCCAAGAAAAGUUUCUAAGUUUAGCUAAUGUUGCCCGUACCGUAAACCGACACAGGUGGGUGGGAUGAGUAUUCUAAGGCGCGUGGAAGAACUCUCUUUAAGGAACUCUGCAAAAUAGCACCGUAUCUUCGGUAUAAGGUGUGCCUCCCUUUGUAUUAGAAUUCACUUCGAAAGCAAAGAAGGUUACAACAAAGAGUCCCUCCCGACUGUUUACCAAAAACACAGCACUCUGCUAACUCGUAAGAGGAUGUAUAGGGUGUGACGCCUGCCCGGUGCUCGAAGGUUAAUUGAUGGGGUUAGCAUUAGCGAAGCUCUUGAUCGAAGCCCGAGUAAACGGCGGCCGUAACUAUAACGGUCCUAAGGUAGCGAAAUUCCUUGUCGGUUAAAUACCGACCUGCAUGAAUGGCGUAACGAGAUGGGAGCUGUCUCAAAGAGGGAUCCAGUGAAAUUGUAGUGGAGGUGAAAAUUCCUCCUACCCGCGGCAAGACGGAAAGACCCCGUGGACCUUUACUACAGCUUGACACUGCUAUUUGGAUAAGAAUGUGCAGGAUAGGUGGGAGGCUUUGAGUAUAUGACGCCAGUUGUAUAUGAGCCAUUGUUGAGAUACCACUCUUUCUUAUUUGGGUAGCUAACCAGCUUGAGUUAUCCUCAAGUGGGACAAUGUCUGGUGGGUAGUUUGACUGGGGCGGUCGCCUCCCAAAUAAUAACGGAGGCUUACAAAGGUUGGCUCAGAACGGUUGGAAAUCGUUCGUAGAGUAUAAAGGUAUAAGCCAGCUUAACUGCAAGACAUACAAGUCAAGCAGAGACGAAAGUCGGUCUUAGUGAUCCGGUGGUUCUGUGUGGAAGGGCCAUCGCUCAAAGGAUAAAAGGUACCCCGGGGAUAACAGGCUGAUCUCCCCCAAGAGCUCACAUCGACGGGGAGGUUUGGCACCUCGAUGUCGGCUCAUCGCAUCCUGGGGCUGGAGCAGGUCCCAAGGGUAUGGCUGUUCGCCAUUUAAAGCGGUACGCGAGCUGGGUUCAGAACGUCGUGAGACAGUUCGGUCCCUAUCUGCCGUGGGCGUAAGAAGAUUGAAGAGAUUUGACCCUAGUACGAGAGGACCGGGUUGAACAAACCACUGGUGUAGCUGUUGUUCUGCCAAGAGCAUCGCAGCGUAGCUAAGUUUGGAAAGGAUAAACGCUGAAAGCAUCUAAGCGUGAAGCCAACUCUAAGAUGAAUCUUCUCUAAGCUCUCUAGAAGACUACUAGUUUGAUAGGCUGGGUGUGUAAUGGAUGAAAGUCCUUUAGCUGACCAGUACUAAUAGAGCGUUUGGCUUAUCUUUAAUAAAGCAU